rnacentral:rRNA from 1 species
AAUGAACGCUGGCGGCAGGCCUAACACAUGCAAGUCGAACGAAGCCUUCGGGCUUAGUGGCGGACGGGUGAGUAACGCGUGGGAACGUGCCCCUUGGUACGGAAUAGCCCCGGGAAACUGGGAGUAAUACCGUAUGUGGUCGAGAGACGAAAGAUUUAUCGCCAAGGGAUCGGCCCGCGUUGGAUUAGGUAGUUGGUGGGGUAAUGGCCUACCAAGCCGACGAUCCAUAGCUGGUUUGAGAGGACGAUCAGCCACACUGGGACUGAGACACGGCCCAGACUCCUACGGGAGGCAGCAGUGGGGAAUCUUAGACAAUGGGGGAAACCCUGAUCUAGCCAUGCCGCGUGAUCGAUGAAGGCCUUAGGGUUGUAAAGAUCUUUCAGAUGGGAAGAUAAUGACGGUACCAUCAGAAGAAGCCCCGGCUAACUCCGUGCCAGCCGCCGCCGUAACAC